GAGACUUGUUCCCAUAAGCCAUAUAUUCCAAUAGAAAGUAACGACUGAAGUAAGACUCGGUGAUUAGGAGGAUAGAGUAUAUAAAAUUUUAGAAAUCUUGUUGCAUACUAGAAGUUCAACUAGUAUCAUAUUAAAAGCUUUGAUACUCGGAUUCGCCAUUCUCACUUGCCACACUCGUGUUGACAUGACACGACACUGGAUAGGACAUGAAAUAUGUGUCCGACACACAUCCAUGAAGUUGGACACACCUAGAAGGAGG
rnacentral:misc_RNA from 1 species